AUUGAACGCUGGCGGCAGGCCUAACACAUGCAAGUCGAACGAGUGGCGGACGGGUGAGUAAUGUCUGGGAAACUGCCUGAUGGAGGGGGAUAACUACUGGAAACGGUAGCUAAUACCGCAUACCAUCGGAUGUGCCCAGAUGGGAUUAGCUAGUAGGUGGGGUAACGGCUCACCUAGGCGACGAUCCCUAGCUGGUCUGAUAGGAUGACCAGCAACACUGGAACUGAGCCACGGUCCAGAAUCCUACGGGAGGCAGCAGUGGGGAAUAUUGCACAAGGGGCGCAAGCCUGAUGCAGCCAUGCCGGGUGUAUGAAGAAGGCAUUCGGGUUGUAAAGUACUUUCAGCGGGGAGGCGUUACCCGCAGAAGAAGCACCGGCUAACACCGUGCCAGCCGCCGCGGUAAUAC
rnacentral:rRNA from 1 species